UGGUCUAGUGUCCUAGUGGUAAGAGCGUUCGCCUCAUAUGCGGGAGGUUGUGGGUUCGAUCCCCGGUCGAGUCAU